rnacentral:rRNA from 1 species
GAUUAACGCUGGCGGCGUGCCUAACACAUGCAAGUCGAGCGGCAGCGAGUUUUACACUGUAUUCUGGUAGCUUCUAGUUGAAAGAGAAGAUUUAUUCAAGAAUUUUUUGUAAAAUGUCGGCUAGCUGCGGACGGCUGUGUCACGCGUGGGAACGUACCCCAAAGUGCGUGAUUACGCAUCGAAAGGUGUUCUAAUUCCGCCUAUUGUCUUCGUCUUAAAUCCUUCGGGCGCUUUGGGAACGGCCUGCGUAAGAUUAGAUAGUUGGUGGGGUAAUGGCCUACCAAGUCGACGAUCUGUAACUGGUGUGAGAGGAAGAGCAGUCAGACUGGAACUGAGACACGGUCCAGACUCCUACGGGAGGCAGGAGUGAGGAAUCUGCCACAAUGGGCGAAAGGCUGAGGGAGCAACGCCGCGUGAAGGAUGAAGGACUUCGGGUGGUAAAAUGCGUCUAUAAGUGAGGAUUAUGACAGUAACUUAUGAAUAAGGACCGGCUAACUACGUG